rnacentral:rRNA from 1 species
UCUAAACGCGAAGAACCCUUACCUACUCUUCACAUCCAAAAGAAUUCGCUAGAAAUAGCUUAGUGCCUUCGGGAACUCUGAGACAGGUGCUGCAUGGCUGUCGUCAGCCCGUGUUGUGAAAUGUUGGGUUAAGUCCCGCAACGAGCGCAACCCUUAUCCUUUGUUGCCAGCACGUAAUGGUGGGAACUCAAAGGAGACUGCCGGUGAUAAACCGGAGGAAGGUGGGGAUGACGUCAAGUCAUCAUGGCCCUUACGAGUAGGGCUACACACGUGCUACAAUGGCGUAUACAAAGAGAAGCGAACUCGCGAGAGCAAGCGGACCUCAUAAAGUACGUCGUAGUCCGGAUCGGAGUCUGCAACUCGACUCCGUGAAGUCGGAAUCGCUAGUAAUCGUAGAUCAGAAUGCUACGGUGAAUACGUUCCCGGGCCUUGUACACACCGCCCGUCACACCAUGGGAGUGGGUUGCAAAAGAAGUAGGUAGCUUAACCUUCGGGAGGGCGCUAC